rfam:Triticum urartu cultivar G1812 contig81380, whole genome shotgun sequence.
UAAGUACUCCCUCCUCCGGAAAUACUUGUCAUCAAAAUGAAUAAAAGGAGAUGUAUCUAGAUGUAUUUUAGUUCUAGAUACACCCCUUUUUGUCCAUUUUGAUGACAAGUUUUUUCGGACGGAGGGAGUACAUA